AUGGGCUCCAGGCUCCUCUGCUGGGUGGCUCUUGGUCUCCUGGGAGCAGGCCCUGUGGAUGCUGAGAUCACUCAAAGCCCCAGAUACCUGGUCAAAGCAAGGAGUCAGCCAGUGACCCUGACAUGCAACUAUGACUCUAGUCAUGACUACGUGUACUGGUACCAACAGGCCCUCGGGAAGAGUCUUGACUUCCUUGUUUCAUAUUACGGUGGGCAAGAGAAUCAGAAAGGCAGCCUCCCUGAUCACUUCUCAGUCCAACAAUUCACGAAGAACUUCAGCUCUAAGCUGAGCAUGAGCUCCGUGGAAGUGGCCGACUCUGCCCUGUACCUCUGUGCCAGCAGCUUAUCACAGCCCUGCCUGCUCAGCCGCCUCCUGCACAAAAACACCCCUGGUCAGCUCAGGAAGUGA